rfam:Ictidomys tridecemlineatus contig104283, whole genome shotgun sequence.
UGGGAUGUGGCUCAAUGAUAGAGUAUUUGUCUAAGCAUGCAAAAGGCCCUGGGUUCCAUGCCCAGUAUCACAU